rnacentral:rRNA from 1 species
UACGUAGGGUGCAAGCGUUGUCCGGAAUUAUUGGGCGUAAAGAGCUCGUAGGCGGUUUGUCGCGUCUGCUGUGAAAACCCGAGGCUCAACCUCGGGCCUGCAGUGGGUACGGGUAGACUAGAGUGCGGUAGGGGAGAUUGGAAUUCCUGGUGUAGCGGUGGAAUGCGCAGAUAUCAGGAGGAACACCGAUGGCGAAGGCGGUUCUCUGGGCCUGUACUGACGCUGAGGAGCGAAAGCGUGGGGAGCGAACAGG